rnacentral:rRNA from 1 species
AAGCUCGUAGUUGAAUUUCGGAUUCUGCCAGUUGGUCCAUCUUUUGAUGAGUACUGAUUGUGUGGGGUCUAUCCGCCUGGUAAUACGUAAUGUACUUUAUUGUAUGUUAUGGGUAGCCAGGACCUUUACCUUGAAAAAAUUAGAGUGUUUAAAGCAGGCUUAUGCCGGAAUACAUUAGCAUGGAAUAAUAGAAUAGGACGAUGUUGUUUUAUUUUGUUGGUUUCUAGGACAACCGUAAUGAUUAAUAGGGAUAGUUGGG